AUGUAUUACCCAGGCCAGGAAGAACAGGAGGAGGGAGAGGUUCGGACAGCAGCAGAUGGAAAGGAAAGGGAGCAACCUCAAGAGAAAUCUGACUUCCAGUCCUCUGGAAGAAACUGGGAGGCGGAGAAAUUGUUACCAAAGGACCAUACUGAGUCUGAGGAAGAGAUCCUUCAGGGAGAAAUAAAAGUUGGAUUUCUACAGGGCUAUAGAAAGACUGAGGGGGUGAUGGAAAUGAGGUAUGGGAGAACUGAGAGAGAAAUCAUUGUAGACUGUAGAGAGACUGAGGAUAAGAUCCUCAUAUUGAAGGGUGAUAGGGAGGGCCAGGUCCUUUUGGAAACGGGUGAAAGUAAGGGACAGAAUCUAAGAUGUGGAGAGAGUGAGGGAAGGGUGCUAAAGGAAGUUGAAGUGGAUACUGAGGGACAGUUUCAGGAAGCAGAUGGAUUAAGAACUGAAGGACAGAUCCUGAAAGGGAAUAGACAGACAGAGGAUUACAAGAGAGAUAAAGAGGCUACUGAAGGACAGGUCCAAGGAGGGGAAGCUGAAGAACAGACCCAAGGAAGAGAUGCUGAAAAACAGACCCAGGGAGAAGAUUCUGAAAAAGAGGUCCAGGGAAGGGAUGCUGAAGGACAGGCCCAAGGAGAGGAGGCUGAAGGAGAGGCCCAGGGUGGGGAGGCUGAAGAACAGACCCAGGGAGAGGAGGCUGAAGGAGAGGCCCAGGGAGGAGAGGUUGAAGGACAGGCCCAGGGAAAGGAGGCUGAAGGAGAGGCCCAGGGAGGGGAGGCUGAAGGACAGGCCCAGGGAGGGGAGGCUGAAGGAGAGGCCCAGGGAGGGGAGGCUGAAGGACAGGCCCAGGGAGGGGAGGCUGAAGGACAGGCUGAGGGAAGUGAUGCUGAAGGACAGGCCCAAGGAGAGGAGGCUGAAGGACAGGCCCAAGGAGAGGAGGCUGAAGGACAGGCCCAAGGAGGGGAGGCUGAAGGACAGGCCCAGGGAGGGGAGGCUGAAGGACAGGCCCAGGGAGGGGAGGCUGAAGGACAGGCCCAGGGAGGGGAGACAGAAGGACAGGCCCAGGGAGUAGAGGCUGAAGGACAGGCCCAG
rnacentral:lncRNA from 1 species